GGUCCCGUAGCUCAACCGGAUAGAGCACCUGCCUUCUAAGCAGGGGGUUGUAGGUUCGAGUCCUACCGGGAUCGCCA
rnacentral:tRNA from 1 species